rnacentral:tRNA from 1 species
GGGGGCGUAGUUGAGUUGGUUACAACGUCGCCCUGUCACGGCGAAGGUCGUGGGUUCAAGUCCCAUCGCUCCCGCCA